AUUGAACGCUGGCGGCAGGCCUAACGCAUGCAAGUCGAGCGGAUGAAGGGAGCUUGCUCCUGGAUUCAGCGGCGGACGGGUGAGUAAUGCCUAGGAAUCUGCCUGGUAGGGGGGGAUAACGUCCGGAAACGGGCGCUAAUACCGCAUACGUCCUGAGGGAGAAAGUGGGGGAUCUUCGGACCUCACGCUAUCAGAUGAGCCUAGGUCGGAUUAGCUAGUUGGUGGGGUAAAGGCCUACCAAGGCGACGAUCCGUAACUGGUCUGAGAGGAUGAUCAGUCACACUGGAACUGAGACACGGUCCAGACUCCUACGGGAGGCAGCAGUGGGGAAUAUUGGACAAUGGGCGAAAGCCUGAUCCAGCCAUGCCGCGUGUGUGAAGAAGGUCUUCGGAUUGUAAAGCACUUUAAGUUGGGAGGAAGGGCAGUAAGUUAAUACCUUGCUGUUUUGACGUUACCAACAGAAUAAGCACCGGCUAACUUCGUG
rnacentral:rRNA from 1 species